rfam:Asian citrus Psyllid, Diaphorina citri - Florida Strain, whole genome shotgun sequence.
GCCAAGUUAGCUUAGUUGGUAGUGCGUCUGCCUCGUAAGCGCUAGGCCGCGGGUUCGAUUCCCGCCCGGGGCG